CAUUGCGAGGGACAUUUAUUUUAGGGUCUUCAACAUUUAACUUUGACAUUGCAAGGGACAUUUAUUUACAUUUAGCUUUGACAUUGCAAGGGGCAUUUAUUUUAGGGCCUUUCACAUUCACCUCUUUGCAUAUAGAACGCUGUGACAUUGCAAGGGUUCCACAGCACUUCAAUUAAUUUCCGAGCUUCCCUUCACCUCCGUACCCAAAGUCAUGUCAAUAUGUUUGGGCGUAGUCAUUGCCAUACACUUCACGGCACAUCAAAUUCAUAUACGAGCUUCCCUUCACCUCCGUACCCUAAAUCAUGUCAAUAUGUUUGGGGUAACUCGCUGAUACACUUCCGCCCCUGUUCCUUCGUCAUGUCAUCUUUGGGCCGAGUCGCUGCCGCACUCUCUCGCCGCAAGCUUCAGUCAUGAUGUCAUGUCUCCUGCCUGGCUUCUCUUGGCUUUCCUUGCAUGUCUGAGCGGAGGCGUGGAUGUGCGUUCGCCAUUUCUGCCUUAACGAGAGUCUGUUUUAUCUCGCUUUAAUCUCGACGGAAAAUAGUCAUUGUUUAUUUAUUUAUUUAUAUAUUUAUUUUUACAACAAAGGAGACAGCUCAAGGGCGCACACAAUAAAGGAAACAAUAAUAAAGAAAAAGCCCGCUACUCGCUGCUCCUAAAAAGAAUCCAAAGAGGUGGCCGAAAGAGAGGUCAGUUUCGGGAUCUGGUGUUGUUUACUGGUACGAAAUGAUAGGACAGUGAAUUAGGUUUUGCUGUGAGGUCCUUGAGGUGUGUUUUGCCAUUUCUGCCUUCACGAGAGUCAGUUUUAUCUCACUUUUGUCUCGACGGAAAAUAAAGUCCUUGUUUUGGGUGUUGUUUACUGGUACGAAAUGAUAGGACAGUGAAUUAGGUUUUGCUGUGAGGUCCUUGAGGUGUGUUUUGCCAUUUCUGCCUUCACGAGAGUCAGUUUUAUCUCACUUUUGUCUCGACAGAAAAUAAAGUCCUUGUUUUGGGUGUUGUUUACUGGUACGAAAUUAUAGGACAGUGAAUUAGGGUUUGCUGUGAGGUCCUUGAGGUGUGUUUUGCCAUUUCUGCCUUCACGAGAAUCAAUUAUUUUUCUUUUUCAUCUCGACGGAAAAUAAAGUCCUUGUUUUGGGUGUUGUUUGCUGGUACGAAAUGAUAGGACAGUGAAUUAGGUUUUGCUGUGAGGUCCUUCAUGUGUGUGUUUUGCCAUUUCUGCCUUCACGAGAAUCAGUUAUUUUUAAUUUUCAUCUCGACGGAAAAUAAAGUCCUUGUUUUGGGUGUUGUUUACUGGUACGAAAUGAUAGGACAGUGAAUUAGGUUUUGCUGUGAGGUCCUUUAUGUGUGUGUUUUGCCAUUUCUGCCUUCACGAGAAUCAAUUAUUUUUCAUUUUCAUCUCGGCAGAAAAUAAGAAAGUCACGAUUUUUAUAAUAAUUUACUUCAGGCGAAAAAAUCACGUCGUGCUAUUGUAAAGUGAUUCAUUCUUGUUUGUCACUUCUUCCUUCACGAGUUUCAUUCUUUACUUCUAUCUCGUCGGAAAAUAGGAAAAAGUCAUGAUUCUUCUUAAAAUUUACAUGUACCAAACGUCACUGCUAUAAGCUAGGUCUUAUCAUAGUUGUCUGAAACAUAGAUAAACAUUCCCAAAGGCCUUAAUCUGCAGACCCGUUUGGCUCCUCCGUGCUAGUGCCUGUAUCCUGUCUUGGGCGUCUGGGUUCGAAUCCUAGGCGGAGUUUUGUCCCGAACAGAUCAGUUUCUUAUGUGCUGCGAUAAGUGGAGAUAACCCCUCAAAAAAAUAGGUGUUGGAAGUGUGUGGCAGAGCAGAGGGGUGAAAUAGACCCCUGGGAGACAAUGCCAACACAGACUCGACAAUUUGGUUUCACUGUUAUUUAUUUACUCACUUGAUGUCUACUAAAAAUUGCCAAAUCAGCGUUACCAAAUUAUCGUACUCAGCGCAUUGCAUUUUCUUAGUUUCUGACCGAUAAAUAUAGCAGAAAAAACGAAAACCAUCAAUAUUUAACAGUUUUAACGAUAACUUUAAAUUUCUAUCGUUAUUUUUGUGGUUACGACAGUCUUGGAGCCUAAAAAUGAUAAAUGUAGUGUUCAGUGUACGACAAUUUGGCAACGCUGUCCCAAAUCCUCCUAUAUAGCCAGUCUUGCUUUUUCACGGGUAUAUUUCAGGUUUCAGAGGUCGCCGGGUCAAUCUGGCGAGUCUGUUUUCUGUGUCGAGAUCGGUGGGACUUUCACUCUUGCUGUUACGCUCCAAUCACUGCGUUCGCUCUUACGUUGCUUAUGCCGUGGAAUGGGCUGAAGGGUGAGAGUUCAUUUUCUGCGACACCAGUUUAACCCAGUGGUAGCUGCGGGGAUCAUGUUUCGUAAUGGUCCCUCUAAGCGAGAAAAAUGAGAAAAAAUCAUCACUCACGCAAACCGUUUCAUAAUAUAUAUAAACGCAUUUGUGAUCAGUUUAUGCAUCAUCUAUUUUUGGGGUUUAUAUCAUGGCAGAAAUUUGGCCUGUCGCUGCUACACGGUAAAGCCACAAAUUUAGCCUGUCGCUGCUACACGGUAAAGCCACAAAUUUAGCCUGUCACUGGUACAUGGUAAAGCCACAAAUUUAGCCUGUCACUGGUACAUGGUAAAGCCACAAAUUUAGCCUAUCGCUGCUACACGGUAAAGCCACAAAUUUAGCCUGUCGCUGGUACACAGUAAAGCCACAAAUUUAGCCCGUCGCUCGUACACGGUAAAGCCACAAAUUUAGCCUAUCGCUGGUACACGGUAAAGCCACAAAUUUGGCCCGUCACUGCUACACGGUAAAGCCACAAAUUUAGCCUGUUGCUGCUACACGGUUAAAGAAUCUAAAAAAGUUGCGUCCAGAGGGCUAUACGGACAAACAUUACUCUUUUUUUUUUUUUUUUUAUACAAGAAAGGAGACAGCUCAAGGGCACACAAAAAAAGAAAACAAUAAUAUAAAAAAAAAACCCGCUACUCGCUGCUCCUAAAAAGAAUCCAAAGAGAGGCAUAGGCAAAGGAGAGGAAGAAAGAUUGAAAAAGAGGAAAUAGAGGAGAGACAGGGAAAGAAAUAGGAAACAAUACACGUUAGACGGAAUAGACAGAGCUUAGCGGAUAAAAGGAGAGAGAGGAUAAAAGGAGUUAGUUCAGUCGUCCCUCAAAUAGUACGGUUUUCAAUAGUUCGGUUCCGGUUUUAUGCGGAUUGUUGUAGAUCUUUUUAGGACUUUCAAAUUUCCUGCCCGUCGGGAAAUUCAAAAAUCCUAAAAAAAUCUAUAAAAAUCCACAUUCAACCGAAACCGUACUAUUUAAGGGAGGACUCCAUAUAAAAGGAAGAAGAAGAACACAUAACAAGAUAAGAGAACAGCGUAAUCAACCGUUCAUUCAACACACCCCAUAACAGAGGCUAUUUUGUUAUUUAAUUAUUUUUAUUUUAUUUAUUUAUUUAUUUUUUUUACGUCUACGCCUAUUGCCCCGGUACGCUUGCUUAAGGGGCCUGGAUGGUAGUCGGCCCCAGCCCUUCAUGGCACAGGCAAGUGUUUAUAGUGGCGCCAUCAGCUCCCUUCACAUACUACCUAAUAUAAAUCGCUAAGUCAGAUUGGCUCCACUUUAGAGAAUGCAAGAGUCGUGUCCACAAUCAAAUUUUUUUACGGUGAGGAUAAUCUCGGGACUAUCAAUACCUUCCCGUGCCACCAGAGGGCUAGGCUAGGGCUGCCCACCAUUGCCUUUAUCAUACUAACUAAUAUAGAGCAGUGUAAGACUUCAUUCCCACGGCAAUGCUUUAAAUAACGUUAAAAAAAUCGCGUUCAUGGUCAGAUAUUUUCCAGUAAGCGUUAUUUCAAGCUUCAUUUCCCUCGACAUCACUUAAAAUAACGUUAAAAGAAUCACGUUCAUGGUCAGAUAUUUUCCAGUAAGGGUUAUUUCAAGCUUCAUUUCCCUCGACAUCACUUAAAAUAACGUAAAAAGAAGCGUUCAUGGUCAGAUAUUUUCCAGUAAGGGUUAUUUCAAGCUUCAUUUCCCUCGACAUCACUUAAAAUAACGCAAAAAGAAUCACGUUCAUGGUCAGAUAUUUUCCAGUAAGGGUUAUUUCAAGCUUCAUUUCCCUCGACAUCACUUAAAAUAACGAAAAAAGAAUCACGUUCAUGAUCAGAUAUUUUCCAGUAAGGGUUAUUUCAGGGUUCAUUUCCCUCGGCAUCACUUUAAAUAACGUCAAAAGAAUCGCGUUCACGAUCAGACAUUUUCCAGUAAGCGUUAUUUCAAGCUUCAUUUUCCUCGACAUCACUUUAAAUAACGUAAAAAGAAUCGCGUUCAUGAUCAUAUAAUUUCCAGCAAGGGUUAUUUCAGGGGUAUAAUUGCUUUCAUGUGCCACCAGAGGGAUAUAGGAUGACUAACAGGCCUCUUAACAUACUAACUAAUUUAACCUUCAUUUCCCUCGGCAUCGCUUAAAAUAACGUAAAAAGAAUCGCGUUCAUGACCAGACAUUUUCCAGUGAGGGUUAUUUCUCGACUGUUAAUGUCUGCCCGUGCCACCAGAGGGCUAGGCUAGGGCUGCCCACCAGUGCCCUAAAUAUAGCACACAGGGAAAUGGCACUGCACGUUGAAUAAAAGAUGUUUCGGUCCAUUCCCGAGUUGGUGUUUACGUUAUAUAAAUUCACUUAGGCCCCCUUCGCACUGGGCCACGACAACCCAGCGAUUUUUCAGCCCCCUUCACACUGUUCCGAAUCAGCAUCUGGCGAUUGUUUCUAGACCUCUUUCCGAACAUGUGCGACCUUUUCACAUCAACAGUUCACACCCAAGACCGGAGUCGCUGGGUUGUCAUGGCCCAGAGUCGGCAGGGUGUGAACGGGGCUUAACCUGGUAGCAGCAACGGGCCAAAUUUGUGGCUUUACCGUGUAGCAGUGACAGGUCAAAUUUGUGUCUUUACCGUGUAGCAGCGACGGGCCAAAUUUGUGGCUUUACCGUGUAGCAGCGACGGGCCAAAUUUGUGGCUUUACCAUGUAGUAGCGACGGGCCAAAUUUGUGGCUUUACCAUGUAGUAGCGACGGGCCAAAUUUGUGCCAUGAUAUAACCCCCAAAAUAGAUGAUACCUAAUCUGAUCACAAAUGCUUCGAUAUAUAUUAUGAAAUGGUUUGUGAGAGUGAUGAUUUUUUCUCGUUUUUCUCGCUUAGAGGGACCAUUAAGAAACAUGAUCCCCGCAGCUACCAGGUUAACUCUCUCCAGGUUCCAGUCCUUGUUCUUACCAGUUCAGUCACCUGUGCUGGGCCUGUUUGCUUUACGCUCACGAAAGGGCUGCAACGCUUUAUUUACGCUUCCUCGCAAUGUUUUUAUUUACGCUUCCAUUCACUAACAGGCUGUACGCAAGUUUGUCCAUGAGAGGCGGGAGAUAGCUGAGAGACAGAGACAAAGAAAACAUCAAGAUUGGAAAUGUUUCGAUCCGCAAGUUAAACGAAUUUGUGCUUUCAUGCCCCAAGAGUUUAUUUUCUCUUUUUCUAUUUUCCUGUUCCAACAUGACCUCUGUGUGUAUCGGAACGCACGAGAAAUUAAUCAAGACAAGGAGAGGGUGUUCGCCGGCUGCCUGGGAUUGCUGAGUGGGUUAUGGGAGGCUCGUUCAUCAGGCAUUGUCGCUGUACUUCAGUGCAGCUCAAGAGACUGAGGGUUGUAGACAUUUCGCCGCCAAAGAACACAUAUUUGACAAGGCUUUCAUAGGAGUUGUGGGCAUUUCCAGGAGUAGUUUCAUGACCCUGGUGUUAGUUUGACCCUUCUUCUGUACCCUGAACCUAAGGAAACACAUAUUUGACAAUGCUUUCAUAGGAGUUGUGGGCAUUUCCAGGAGUAGUUUUGUGACCCUGGUGUUAGUUUGACCCUUCUUCUGUACCCUGAACCUAAGGAAACACAUAUUUGACAAGGCUUUCAUAGGAGUUGUGGGCAUUUCCAGGAGUAGUUUUAUGACCCUGGUGUUAGUUUGACCCUUCUUCUGUACCCUGAACCUAAGGAAACACUCAUUAGAACCCUACUGACCCCAUCUUUAACCUUCAGAAAUUGUUAAUGUGAGAAGCGAUUGUGUCUUCUGAUACCAACCUGAAUCCCUAAUAGAAGAUUAUCAGUAUAGUCAAAACAUCUCGGAGAAAGUCUUACAGAAUGGUUGAGUUAGUCAGGGGAAGGAUGUGCAACUCUUGAGACGGUAACUUGGUGGGCUAAAGUUUAUUAAGAAGUACAGAAAGGUGAGAUAAAGUUUGUAAAUAAGUAAAAAAAAUGACAAAGAAAACAUGGAUAGUGGUCAGCAUGGUUUCAAUUCGGAUUCGUAAAUUCUGAGAAAACACGAGUAUUGGUUGACGUCGCUUAAAGUUACUGUCAAGAUUCGUAAAUUUAGGAGAAAGACGCUGAACUUACGGAAGAUCUAAAAUAUGGUAGAGAGCUGUGGAAAUAGAUUGGGGCUGUUAUGUUAGCCGCUGAACUCACGGACGAUUUAAAAUAUGGUAGAGAGCUGUGGAAAUAGAUUGGGGCUGUUAUGUUAGCCGCUGAACUCACGGACGAUCUAAAAUAUAGUAGAAAGCUGUGGAAAUAGAUUGGGGCUGUUAUGUUAGACGCUGAACUCACGGACGAUCUAAAAUAUGGGAGAGAGCUGUGGAAAUAGAUUGAGGCUGUUAUGUUAGCCGCUGAACUUACGGACGAUCUAAAAUAUGGGAGAGUUGUGGAACUUAAUUGCGGCCGUUCUAUUCACCCACAGCCUAGGACAGUAUAGGAGUGGAUGGUUUUGCUUAAUACCCAACAACACACCAAACAUGUUAUACUCAUUCACGUCAUCUGAGCUUCACCGUAUAGAGUUGGCCCUUUAAAGACUGUCGCAUUUUUGAGUUUUUCCUAUUGAGAAUUUAAAAAGUUAUCCUCUUAAGUAAUUUCUCAUUUUACGAAGUUUUUGCGUUGAGAUUUUUUCCUUUUCAAUCAUUUUUUCCUUUUCCUAUAUGUAAUUUCUCAUUUUAAGAAGUUUUUGCAUUGAUAUUUUUCCCUUUCAAUAGCUUUCUCCUUUUCCUAUAUGUAAUUUCUCAUUUUAAGAAGUUUUUACAUUGAUAUUUUUCCUUUCAAUAGUUUUCUCCUUUUCCUCUAUGUAAUUUCUCAUUUUAAGAAGUUUUUCUGUUGAUAUUUUUCCCUUUCAAUAGUUUUCUCCUUUUCCAAUACGUAAUUUCUCAUUUUAAGAAGUUUUUCCGUUGAUAUUUUUCCCUUUCAAUAGAUUUUUCCUUUUCCUAUAUGUAAUUUCUCAUUUUAAGAAGUUUUUACAUUGAUAUUUUUCCUUUCAAUAGUUUUCUCCUUUUCCUAUAUGUAAUUUCUCAUUUUAAGAAGUCUUUCUGUUGAUAUUUUUUCCUUUCAAUAGAUUUUUCCUUUUCCUAUAUGUAAUUUCUCAUUUUAAGAAGUUUUUCCGUUGAUAUUUUUCCCUUUCAAUAGAUUUUUCCUUUUCCAAUACGUAAUUUCUCAUUUUAAGAAGUUUUUCCUGUGAUAUUUUUUCCCUUUCAAUAGUUUUUUCCUUUUCCUAUAUGUAAUUUCUCAUUUUAAGAAUUUUUUCCGUUGAUAUUUUUCCCUUUCAAUAGAUUUUUCCUUUUCCUCUGUGUAAUUUCUCAUUUUAGUUGCUCAUUUUAAGUUAUUUGCAUUGAUAUUUUUCCCUUCAAUAUUUUUUCCUUUUCCUAUACUUAACUUCUCCAUGGUUGAGGCUGGCGGCUUUUCAAAGUCUCCGCCACUCACUCUCCCGUACCUCUAUCUCAACAAUUCGAUCUUUUCCCUUUCCAGACGUGUCAUUUAAACAUCAUCUUAAACUUACAAUAUUCUUCUCAUUCGUAGGUAUAUCAUUCAAUCCUAUAUGUCUCGGUUCUGUAUUUUCCUCAUCCGUUAGUGUGGCAUUGGGCAUUGAUACCUCCAUCUUCGACAGUCUGUAUUUCUCUCGAUCCUGAAUUGUGGCAUUGAAACUCCUAUCUUCCGUUUCCUCUGUUUAUCUUGUCAAGGGGUGCGCUAUUUAAACCCCUGUUAUUAGUUUUCUUUGUUUUACUUUAUGAGUUUUCUAUGUUAACCCGUCCGCUGCGAUUGUCAGGGAUUUCGCCUUCACUGGUAGCCUGGUAACAUACACUCCCAGGUCUUUCUCUACCUCUGUGGUGGAUAGUGGAGUGUUUCCCAUGUGGUAUUGGUAUGCUGGAUAUCCCUUCACUGGUAGCCUGGUAACAUACACUCCCAGGUCUUUCUCUACCUCUGUGGUGGAUAGUGGAGUGUUUCCCAUGUCGUAUUGGUGUGCUGGAUAUCCCUUCACUGGUAGCCUGGUAACAUACACUCCCAGGUCUUUCUCUGCCUCUGUGGUGGAUAGUGGAGUGUUUCCCAUGUGGUAUUGGUGUGCUGGAUAUCCCUUCACUGGUAGCCUGGUAACAUACACUCCCAGGUCUUCCUCUACCUCUGUGGUGGAUAGUGGAGUGUUUCCCAUGUGGUAUUGGCAUGCUGGAUAUCCCUUCACUGGUAGCCUGGUAACAUACACUCCCAGGUCUUUCUCUGCCUCUGUGAUGGAUAGUGGAGUGUUUCCCAUGUGGUAUUGGUGUGCUGGAUAUCCCCUCCCAAGGUGCAGGACUUUACAUUUUUCUUCAUUGAAUUGUAGCAGCCACUUUUUGUUCCAUUUCUGUAGCUUGGUGAGGUCUUCUGGUAGGAAAUCCGCGUCAAGGGGUUAAACUCAUCCGGAACUGUACCAUAUAUAUUCGACUUUCUAUAUUUUACGUCAUCCGGAGGUGUGGUUGUCAGGCAUCAUUCCUUCACCCACAAGGGCAUACGAGGACCAAGCGUUUCAGACCUCAAACAGCUGGUGGAUAUGGACCAUAGUUAGGCUACGGGCUGUCGUGUGUUAGAAUUUAGAGUUGAGAUGCAGUGAUUUCGGCUAGUAGGCAGCCUGUAUUUAGCUAGUUGUAUUUACCUAGUUGUAGUUUUCCAGGGCCUGGGCUUACGCUCAUAUGGUCCCGUCUCCAUAUCUGCAUUUAUCCAACUUUUCCUUAAAGCUUUGCACAUUCCGUGCCGAUACUACAUCCUCACUUAGUCAGUUCCAAACCUCUAUAUUUCUUUGCGGGAAGCUAUAUUUUUUUAUGUCUCAAGCAUCUUCCCUUCCUUUAUUUUUUACUAUGUUCUCUCUGUGUGUGUGUGUGUGUAUGUGUGUGUGUGUGUGUGUGUGUGUGUGUUCCGUUCACACGUCCACGGUACCAUACCAAUACCUCACUUCAAUUCCUGUUUUUAUGUCUCAAGCAUCUUCCCUUCCUUUAUUUUUUACUAUGUUCUCUCUGUGUGUGUGUGCGUGUGUGUGUGUGUGUGUGUGUGUGUGUUCCGUUCACACGUCCACGGUACCAUACCAAUACCUCACUUCAAUUCCUGUUUUUUCGGGAAGAUUAAUUUCAGUGCCAGUAUAUCUGUUAUCAAACUCGUUCAUUCACGGAACACGCCAGACGCUUCACGAUAUUAUUUGUUCCGCCGCCGUGACAUAGUUAUCGGUCUAUUUAUUUACGUACGUGCCAUAUCAUACCGCCCCCAGUACAACGCCGUAGGUAGGAAAUAGAGGGUGGAGUUGGUGGCCAUGUCGACGCUUCAUAUAGUAAACAAUGACCCCAACGUCGUACUCAGCCGCUUGUAUUUCCCGACUUCCUAUUUCCCGACUUCCUACCCCAAAUCUGUCUUCUGGGUUCAAAUAACGAAACCCAUUUAUAGUUAUCGUCAAAAGAGUUAGAUCCUGGUGUUUCUUGGCAAUAUUAGGGGGCUCAGUGGUGCAGUGGUUAGCACACUCAGCUCACAACCGAGAGAGCCCGGGUUCGAUUCCCAGGCGGAGUGGAAAGAUUUGGGUGGCUUUUCCGAUACCCUACGCCCCUGUCCACCCAGCAGUGAAUGGGUACCAGGUAUUAAUUGGGGGUUGUGUCCCGUCUCCUGGGGUCUGUUCCCUUCUCCUAUAAUUCCUUCCCCUUCUGUCUCUCUCCGGCAUAUGACCACAGAUGUUGCGCCGACUAAACCAAACUUUCCAACUUUUCUGUUAGUCAAUCUCCGCUUUACCGACUGAGCUGUCAUAACAUAAGUGACUGAACCUU